AUUGAACGCUGGCGGCAUGCUUUACACAUGCAAGUCGAACGGCAGCGCGGGCUUCGGCCUGGCGGCGAGUGGCGAACGGGUGAGUAAUGCAUCGGAACGUGCCCAGUAGUGGGGGAUAGCCCGGCGAAAGCCGGAUUAAUACCGCAUACGACCUGAGGGUGAAAGCGGGGGACCGAAAGGCCUCGCGCUAUUGGAGCGGCCGAUGUCGGAUUAGCUAGUUGGUGGGGUAAAGGCUUACCAAGGCGACGAUCCGUAGCUGGUCUGAGAGGACGACCAGCCACACUGGGACUGGGACACGGCCCAGACUCCAACGGGAGGCAGCAGUGGGGAUUUUUGGACAAUGGGGGCAACCCGGAUCCAGCCAGGCCGCGUGCGGGAAGAAGGCCUCCGGGUGGUAAACCGCUUUUGUUCGGGAAGAAAUCCUCUGGGCUAAUACCCCGGGGGGAUGACGGUACCGGAAGAAUAAGCACCGGCUAACUACGU
rnacentral:rRNA from 1 species